rnacentral:rRNA from 1 species
UACGUAGGUGGCAAGCGUUAUCCGGAAUUACUGGGCGUAAAGCGCACGCAGGCGGUCUUUUAAGUUUGACGUGAAAGCUCCCGGCUUAACUGGGAGAGGUCGUUGAAGACUGGGAGACUUGAGGCAAUGAGAGGGGUGUAGAAUUCCUGGUGUAGUGGUGGAAUGCGUAGAUAUCAGGAGGAAUACCAGUGGCGAAAGCGGCACCCUGGCGUUGUUCUGACGCUCAUGUGCGAAAGCGUGGGGAGCGAACGGG